rnacentral:lncRNA from 1 species
AACAGUGCAAGCUGAACUUGAAACUUGGUCAUUUCUGAACAUGUGUCUUCUGUAACAGAUUGUGUCUUUGAAAUUCAAGGUUACCGUUCAUACAAUUUCAGGACUGUGAUAUCACAAUGACCUCUAACCGUUACUUGGAUCCUUCGACAUCAGUUUAUUUGAAUAAAAAGACAGUCUUUUCUGCUAGCCUGAACUUAGCCACCAUAAGAAGCGAAGGUUUUAUUCGUCCUCAUUAUUCACAUCAGGUUGACCCAUGGAACUUGAAGCCGCCUGAUUUCUCUCCUAAACUCUACACAUCUCUGAGUGUCCCUCGAAGGAAGAAGACAAAAAAUACACAUCAUCCUUUACUGACACUUGCCUCCAGUGAGACAGUCUUAAGUGUGGACAGAUUUACCCCAAACAUUCUAAUUCCUGAGAUUGACCAGAAUAAAAAAGCACUGCCAAAGUUCAGCACAUCAUACAGACCUCCUGGCUCUUUAGAAUCCAAGCAGAUGUUCGUUAAAACAGGGAAAUACCCUCCUGUGGCCUACAAGAACCCUAAACCACAUAACUUUAGACAGCUUGCUGAUGACAUGCCAAAUAUGGUUACUGCAGCUGAAAGGGAUCCUGGUCAGUUGAACUUCAAAUCUCAGCACCUGAGUAUAAGUAAGUCAGCUUUCCUGAAUAUUGGUGCGGAGACACUGCUCUAUUACUGUAAUUAG